rnacentral:lncRNA from 1 species
ACCCCGUUUCUCCAGUGGCCACAACAAGCGGGUCUUCAGCUGUGCUCCUGGGACUUGGGGAGCCUGGCUUGUGGGCACCCCCUGCCGGGUGCGCCCUGGAGUCUCCUCAUUAGCACCACGGACAGCUCGCGUGAGCCUGAGCUGGGAGGCGACCAGACGCUCAGCGCCAGCACAGGGAGGAGGGAGCGCAGCAGGGAAGGCGGAGGAGGAAGAGGAGAGGAAAGGAAGGAGGACGCGGAGGACGCGGCUCCCAGGCUGGGGAGGAAAUCUGGAAGCAGUCAGAGCAGCAUUCUGGGGGAGCUGUUCAGUGGCACAGCCUCACUGCUCAGGCAGACCCUAGCAGCUCGCCAGUCGCUCUGGGCGGAGGCUGCUGGCGGAGACCCGACGCCAGAGUUUAAAAUGCAAUGGCCAGAAGACAAGGAAAUGUCACUAGAAAUACAUGGACAUGGACUCCUGGGCUGCUGCUGAUGACUGUGAUCUUUUGGGGUCAGCAAGGGAGUGGGCAAGGCCAAGUAAUCCAGCCAGCAGGAGUUUGGAAUCCUCAGGAAGAACAAAGACUUCUUAUCUGCACAAUGGUAGCAUUCAGAAGAGUUGGAAGUUAGAAGUACUGUUAAGAACAAAGACGUGACAGUCCUCAAUGGUCCUCGUGUUCAGCUU